GGUUUAUUGUAAAGUAAAAAAGCCUGAAAUUGAUUUUUCUUGUAAAACACUCCAAUAAUCUUUAUUUACAACUUUGAGGGGGAAAAAAUACAGUAGGUUGACAGCUGAGGUCUUGCAAAUCUACUAGCGCAGAAUAAUGCAUGUGUAACAGGUAUUUUUGUAAAGGGACUUUUAUUUUGAUGGGUUGCCCCGUUUUCGGUAUGUUAGCGGGAGGAAAAAAAGAUGUCUGGGAAGAAGGAAAAAAAGAGAGCAGUUUUUACGAGAGAAAGACACGCCAUGAUUGCUGUGUGGGAAAUCAGCAGUUUUUCAACGGAAAACGUGAAAGAAGAUAGUAAUAUACAGUUCAUCUGAGUUUUUGUGAGUUAAACGAACAUUAACGCCAUCGUCGUCUGAGACUGGAAACGGAGCUGGUGCAGAAGUUCGGCUGAUUGCGUCAUCGAACAGCGUGAGAGACUGGCUGAGAGCACGAGAGUUGCUGGAGCCGUGAGUUUCUUCCUGAACGCUGUUGUUUUGCAUCUUUCGAACUGUAUGUAUUUUUGAGAGUUUUUCUGCGUGCCUGAGUCAUUAAUGAGCUGUGCUUUGGACUGAGAGACGUUAAUUUCUUCCUGCUAGUCAGUCAAGUGCACUUGUUAGUGCGCGAGAAGAUGUAAAUGAACUGGAAGUGAGUUUUUUUUCACAGUGUUUUUUUCGUUUUCGCUCUCUCUCUCUUUUUGCAUUUUUGUAGAGACUGCCCAUUGCCUAAGAUCCGUUUUGCUUUUGGGAAACUUUUAUUAUUAUAAUUUUUUAUUUUUUUUCUUAUUGAGACUGAGUCAGUGCGUGCUGUGGCAGAGCUACGCCAUUAUGUUCCAGGAAAUUCCAGGUUUUUUUUUGGAAAUUUGCUAGUUUUAUUAUUAUUACCCUGCCAUCCUGACGACAUCUCCUUACUUUCCUGUCCCAGCUGUUCAUUUCUCUAUUACAGGUCAUCUCAAGUCAUCGCAAGUAAUUUCUUCAAUUUCAUCAUCACUAAAGACUGGUACAACGUUCAUUGCACAUAUACAUACAUGAACUCUUACUGAUAUAGACUGAACUGCGAACUUGAACUAGGUAACUAACUGGGUUUGAUGUGAAAAUUGAAUCAUCUGUCGAAUCGCAAGAGUCAUUUCAGAGUUCAUUUGAAUUAAGUCAAGUUAUUUCAGAGUUUAUUUGAAGUGAAUCAUUUGUGAACUGAUUGUUAUUCCAGAGGUGAACACAAGUUUUAUGGUUAAACAGUUGGUGGUGCACCACGGGUAAAGAUUAUAGUGACAAAUUUAUUUGAGCAACAUUGUUUUAUUUGUUUUUUUACAUUUUUCAUGUAUUGUUCUGAUCUUCUUUUCCUGCUCUGCAAAAGAAAAAAACAUUUUAAAAGGAGAUAAUUAAAUCUGAUUGAAUGUUAAAGUAAAUCUCAAGAGUACUAUCAUUGUUGAACUUACCUUGGAGUAGGGGCGUCUCACUUGCUCUGUUAGGUACUGGGGUGGUGGGAAUGUGAAUUGGUAUUGUUAAAUUGCCUCACAUAUUUACACUUCAGGCGGCCACCAAAUUAAUACAAGUAUUUUAGACUUAACUGAAGCCACACUCUCUGGUCCCUUUUGUAUAUUAUACAACAGAGUAAGGUAACACGUAUACAUAACCUAUACCUUGAGACUCAAAGCACUGAGGUGGGGGACCAAGAUCCUUUCCUCCUAAAGUCUUCCGAGGUAACAUUAAUUUCCCCUACUAAGCGGGCCCUAACGCACCCGUUACACAUGUAAUAUGAUUGUUUAUCCCCUCAUAAUUUUCAUAAUCAUUUUGACAGAGUUUUAUACCUUUUCUAGUAAACAUCGAUGUAGGGACAGUGAUGACAGCAACCCAACGGAUGAGUGUUCUUAUAUCAAACAAAGAAAUCUAAUGAAGACCUGGUUGACAAACAAAAUUUGAAAUAAUUUUUGAAAACAACUCUGACAUGGCCAUCCAGACCGUCCACGAAGGGUGGGCACAUAUGAGUCCCAGAGCAGCUUAUUGAGAGAAACCGUAAAUAUUUCCACUGACAUCAUGGCCAUAUCCAGAGCGGAGAACGCUGGAGUCGUGGAUUUACUUGUGCUCCAUGGCACAGAGAUUCCAUCAGAUCAGGAUCGCUUACGGUCUAAAUUAACAUCAGCUGCUGGUCUCCCUGCAUACGAGAAAACCCCAAUGCUGCUCUUUUUCCAGCUUUAACGUCCAAACGUCCAAACAUAAACCUGAAGCUGCUUUCGUUUAAGACAGUGGAUUCUUCAUGGCAUGAUGUUCACAAAUACACACACAUACACAUGCUGAUGAACUCACUGUACAGAUGUCCUUGUCCUUCCAACAAACACGUUCGUCAUGUAGUCUGUAAAGUGUUUAGUCUUUAGAUCUGCAUGCAUGUUACUCAAAUACAUUUACAAAGCCAGAUACUUCCUUCUUAAACUUUUAACUGUAGGUCAACAUCAGACGUUUAUCGUAAAAGUUUUAUUGGGUGUAGAAGGAUGACGGCCUCCACCAAAUUUCCAUUCGUGCAGCAUGUCUGGCUGUAGUCUUACCUGUGACACUGUAAACUGGUGCAUAAAAAUUCUCUUGAGGACAAAGUUUACACAUAAUGAAUUUUUAGACCAGCACUGUGCUGACGUCUCCAGCAGGUGGCUUCUGCAAAGGUACUUUGAGUCUCAUUUGCCAGAUUUGCUU
ensembl:lncRNA